UCACUUAAGCUCAGUUGGUAGAGCAUGAGACUCUUCACCUCAGGGUGGUGGAUUCAAGCCCUACAUUGGGCAAAA